GAUGAUCGCUGUGAGCUCGGACAGUCCUCUUUCUUCUUAGUUCAGUGAGAGGGACGGUCACACAAUGAAGUUCACCAGUUUAUUCUCCAACCGUCGCCAUUACAGCAAAGAAGAGACGAAAGGCGACAGUUUUCUGUCGUCGAGUUGAGUGUGUCCUAUAGUUUGAACGGGGCCCGAUGUUUCAGUGAGACCGUUGAGUCUGAAACAGAUAACUGCAGAACGAUGGACGAUGCAGUUGCAGCAGGCUGAAGACCUGGGAGCAGGCAGAACUCAGAUCCUUCGGGGAUGACGUGAUGUCACUGAGAUUCAAUUUGGACGGGACCCCGUCAGGUGGGAGUGUUGGUGAGAAUGCGGAGGCUCGGCUGGACAUGAAUCAAAGACCAAUGUGUUUCAGCUGAUGGAUCGUCUUACCCUGGGGAACACCGUUGGGUUUGAGAGCUGAUGAGAAUGCGGAGGCUCGGCUGGACACAGAUCUAAGACCAAUGUGUUUCAGAUGAUGGAUCGUCUUACCCUGGGGAACACCGUUGUGUUUGAGAGCUGGUGAGAAUGAGGCGAGGCUUGGCUGGACCACUGUGUUUCAGAUGAUAGAUCUUAUUGCCCUGGGGAACACCGUUGAGUCUGAGAGAUGGUAGAUUCCCGACUCUCGAUGGUCCUGCUGAUGACAUACGACUGCUAAUGUACAUAUUGAAUGUUAAAUGAAGAACAGAGUAAUGUGAGCAAACAAACUGUCAAGCUGAAUUUGUUGAAUAAACAGUGACUUUUCCAAA